GAUGAACGCUGGCGGCGUGCCUAAUACAUGCAAGUCGAGCGAUGAAGCCGGAGCUUGCUCUGGUGAAUUAGUGGCGAACGGGUGAGUAACACGUGAGUAACCUGCCCCUAACUUUGGGAUAACUACUCGAAAGAGUAGCUAAUACCGGAUAUGAAGUCUGUAGGCAUCUACGGACUUGGAAAGUUUUUCGGUUAGGGAUGGGCCCGCGGCCUAUCAGCUUGUUGGUGAGGUAGUGGCUCACCAAGGCGACGACGGGUAGCCGGCCUGAGAGGGCGACCGGCCACACUGGGACUGAGACACGGCCCAGGCUCCUACGGGAGGCAGCAGUGGGGGGUAUUGCACAAUGGGAGCAAGCCUGAUGCAGCAACGCCGCGUGAGGGAUGACAGCCUUCGGGUUGUAAACCUCUUUUAGUAGGGAAGAAGCGAAAGUGACGGUACCUGCAGAAAAAGCACCGGCUAACUACGUGCCAGCAGCCGCAGUAA
rnacentral:rRNA from 1 species